UUGCAGUUAAAAAGCUCGUAGUCGGAUUUCAGUAUUAGGCCCUUCUUCCAAUACGGUUGCUAGUGGUCUUUACUUCCUUAACAGAAUCUUUCAUCUCAUUAAUUUGGGGUGUUUGGGGCCUGUUUCUUUUACUUUGAGAAAAUUAGAGUGUUCAAAGCGGGUUCUCGCCUGGAUAUUACUCUUGGAAUAAUAAUAUAGGACUUUGGUUCUUUUUUGUUGGUGACUUAGAACCGAAGUAAUGAUUGAUAGGGACAGUUGGGGUCAUUCGUACUAUGAAGCGAGAGGUGAAAUUCAUGGACCUUUGUAUGACGAACUACUGCGAAAGCAUUUGACUAGGAUGUUCCCGUUGAUCAAGAACGAAAGUUGGGGGAUCGAAGACGAUCAGAUACCGUCGUAGUCUCAACCAUAAACUAUGCCAGCUAGGGAUUGGAGGAAGAUCAUUUUACGUCUCCUUCAGCACCUUAUGAGAAAUCAAAGCAUUUGGGUUCCGGGGGGAGAUAUGGUCGCAAGGCUGAAACUUAAAGGAAUUGACGGGAGGGCACCACCACGAGUGGAGCCUGCGGCUUAAUUUGAUUCAACAC
rnacentral:rRNA from 1 species